UACGAAGGGGGCUAGCGUUGUUCGGAAUUACUGGGCGUAAAGCGCACGUAGGCGGAUAUUUAAGUCAGGGGUGAAAUCCCAGAGCUCAACUCUGGAACUGCCUUUUGAUACUGGGUAUCUGGAGUAUGGAGGAGGUGAGUGGAAUUCCGAGUGUAGAGGUGAAAUUCGUAGAUAUUCGGAGGAACACCAGUGGCGAAGGCGGCUCACUGGUCCAUUACUGACGCUGAGGUGCGAAAGCGUGGGGAGCAAACAGG
rnacentral:rRNA from 1 species